UGGUCAAGUUAUUAAGGGUGCAGGGCGGAUGCCUUGGCACUAGGAGCCGAUGAAGGACGUGAUAAGCUGCGAUAAGCUUCGGGGAGUUGCACGUAAACUUUGAUCCGAAGAUUUCCGAAUGAGGAAACUCACUUAGAGUAAUGUCUAAGUAUCAUUAAGUGAAUACAUAGCUUAAUGAGGGGAACUCAGGGAACUGAAACAUCUAAGUACCUGAAGGAAGAGAAAGAAAUUCGAUUCCGUAAGUAGCGGCGAGCGAACGCGGAUUAGCCCAAACCAAUAAAGUUUUCUUUAUUGGGGUUGCGGACAUAUCAUAACGGAGAGGUAUCGUAAUUGAAGAGGUUUGGAAAGACCCACCACAGAAGGUAAUAGUCCUGUAUGUUAAACGAGAAGACUUUAGAUAUGAUCCAGAGUACCACGGGACACGUGAAACCCUGUGGGAAGCAGGAGGGACCACCCUCCAAGGCUAAAUACUACCUAGUGACCGAUAGCGUAUAGUACCG
rnacentral:rRNA from 1 species